rnacentral:rRNA from 1 species
ACCCGAUGCAAACUGCGAAUACCGGAGAAUGUUAUCACGGGAGACACACGGCGGGUGCUAACGUCCGUCGUGAAGAGGGAAACAACCCAGACCGCCAGCUAAGGUCCCAAAGUCAUGGUUAAGUGGGAAACGAUGUGGGAAGGCCCAGACAGCCAGGAUGUUGGCUUAGAAGCAGCCAUCAUUUAAAGAAAGCGUAAUAGCUCACUGGUCGAGUCGGCCUGCGCGGAAGAUGUAACGGGGCUAAACCAUGCACCGAAGCUGCGGCAGCGAUGCUUAUGCGUUGUUGGGUAGGGGAGCGUUCUGUAAGCCUGCGAAGGUGUGCUGUGAGGCAUGCUGGAGGUAUCAGAAGUGCGAAUGCUGACAUAAGUAACGAUAAAGCGGGUGAAAAGCCCGCUCGCCGGAAGACCAAGGGUUCCUGUCCAACGUUAAUCGGGGCAGGGUGAGUCGACCCCUAAGGCGAGGCCGAAAGGCGUAGUCGAUGGGAAACAGGUUAAUAUUCCUGUACUUGGUGUUACUGCGAAGGGGGGACGGAGAAGGCUAUGUUGGCCGGGCGACGGUUGUCCCGGUUUAAGCGUGUAGGCUGGUUUUCCAGGCAAAUCCGGAAAAUCAAGGCUGAGGCGUGAUGACGAGGCACUACGGUGCUGAAGCAACAAAUGCCCUGCUUCCAGGAAAAGCCUCUAAGCAUCAGGUAACAUCAAAUCGUACCCCAAACCGACACAGGUGGUCAGGUAGAGAAUACCAAGGCGCUUGAGAGAACUCGGGUGAAGGAACUAGGCAAAAUGGUGCCGUAACUUCGGGAGAAGGCACGCUGAUAUGUAGGUGAAGUCCCUUGCGGAUGGAGCUGAAAUCAGUCGAAGAUACCAGCUGGCUGCAACUGUUUAUUAAAAACACAGCACUGUGCAAACACGAAAGUGGACGUAUACGGUGUGACGCCUGCCCGGUGCCGGAAGGUUAAUUGAUGGGGUCAGCGCAAGCGAAGCUCUUGAUCGAAGCCCCGGUAAACGGCGGCCGUAACUAUAACGGUCCUAAGGUAGCGAAAUUCCUUGUCGGGUAAGUUCCGACCUGCACGAAUGGCGUAAUGAUGGCCAGGCUGUCUCCACCCGAGACUCAGUGAAAUUGAACUCGCUGUGAAGAUGCAGUGUACCCGCGGCAAGACGGAAAGACCCCGUGAACCUUUACUAUAGCUUGACACUGAACAUUGAGCCUUGAUGUGUAGGAUAGGUGGGAGGCUUUGAAGUGUGGACGCCAGUCUGCAUGGAGCCGGCCUUGAAAUACCACCCUUUAAUGUUUGAUGUUCUAACGUGGACCCGUGAUCCGGGUUGCGGACAGUGUCUGGUGGGUAGUUUGACUGGGGCGGUCUCCUCCUAAAGAGUAACGGAGGAGCACGAAGGUUGGCUAAUCCUGGUCGGACAUCAGGAGGUUAGUGCAAUGGCAUAAGCCAGCUUGACUGCGAGCGUGACGGCGCGAGCAGGUGCGAAAGCAGGUCAUAGUGAUCCGGUGGUUCUGAAUGGAAGGGCCAUCGCUCAACGGAUAAAAGGUACUCCGGGGAUAACAGGCUGAUACCGCCCAAGAGUUCAUAUCGACGGCGGUGUUUGGCACCUCGAUGUCGGCUCAUCACAUCCUGGGGCUGAAGUAGGUCCCAAGGGUAUGGCUGUUCGCCAUUUAAAGUGGUACGCGAGCUGGGUUUAGAACGUCGUGAGACAGUUCGGUCCCUAUCUGCCGUGGGCGCUGGAGAACUGAGGGGGGCUGCUCCUAGUACGAGAGGACCGGAGUGGACGCAUCACUGGUGUUCGGGUUGUCAUGCCAAUGGCACUGCCCGGUAGCUAAAUGCGGAAGAGAUAAGUGCUGAAAGCAUCUAAGCACGAAACUUGCCCCGAGAUGAGUUCUCCCUGACCCUUUAAGGGUCCUGAAGGAACGUUGAAGACGACGACGUUGAUAGGCCGGGUGUGUAAGCGCAGCGAUGCGUUGAGCUAACCGGUACUAAUGAACCGUGAGG